GAUGAACGCUGGCGGCGUGCCUAAUACAUGCAAGUCGAGCGGCAGCACGGUCUUCGGACUGGUGGCGAGCGGCGGACGGCUGAGUAACGCGUAGGAACAUGCCCCAAAGUGAGGAAUAACUGCCCGAAAGGGUGGCUAAUGCCGCAUGUGGUCUUCGGACUAAAGCUUUAUGCGCUUUGGGAGUGGCCUGCGUCCGAUUAGCUUGUUGGUGAGGUAAUGGCUCACCAAGGCGACGAUCGGUAGCUGGUCUGAGAGGAUGAUCAGCCAGACUGGAACUGAGAACGGUCCAGACUCCUACGGGAGGCAGCAGUAGGGAAUUUUCCACAAUGGGCGAGAGCCUGAUGGAGCAACGCCGCGUGCAGGAUGAAUGCCUUCGGGUUGUAAACUGCUUUUAUGUGCGAAGAAUUUGACUGUAACACAUGAAUAAGGAUCGGCUAACUACGUGCCAGCAGCCGCGGUAA
rnacentral:rRNA from 1 species